rnacentral:rRNA from 1 species
CCUACGGGUGGCAGCAGUGGGGAAUAUUGGACAAUGGGGGGAACCCUGAUCCAGCCAUGCCGCGUGUGUGAAGAAGGCCCUCGGGUUGUAAAGCACUUUCAGUGAGGAAGAACGCCUGGUGGUUAAUACCCAUCAGGAAAGACAUCACUCACAGAAGAAGCACCGGCUAACUCCGUGCCAGCAGCCGCGGUAAUACGGAGGGUGCGAGCGUUAAUCGGAAUUACUGGGCGUAAAGCGCGCGUAGGUGGCUUGAUAAGCCGGUUGUGAAAGCCCCGGGCUCAACCUGGGAACGGCGUCCGGAACUGUCAAGCUAGAGUGCAGGAGAGGAAGGUAGAAUUCCCGGUGUAGCGGUGAAAUGCGUAGAGAUCGGGAGGAAUACCAGUGGCGAAGGCGGCCUUCUGGACUGACACUGACACUGAGGUGCGAAAGCGUGGGUAGCAAACAGGAUUAGAUACCCGGGUAGUC